rnacentral:rRNA from 1 species
AAAGCGGUACGCGAGCUGGGUUCAGAACGUCGUGAGACAGUUCGGUCCCUAUCCGUCGUGGGCGUAGGAAAUUUGAGAGGAGCUGUCCUUAGUACGAGAGGACCGGGAUGGACAUACCGCUGGUGUACCAGUUGUCUUGCCAAAGGCAUCGCUGGGUAGCUAUGUAUGGACGGGAUAAGUGCUGAAAGCAUCUAAGCAUGAAGCCCCCCUCAAGAUGAGAUUUCCCAUUACGCAAGUAAGUAAGACCCCUGAAAGACGAUCAGGUAGAUAGGUUCGAGGUGGAAGUGCGGCGACGCAUGUAGCUGACGAAUACUAAUCGGUCGAGGACUUAACCACAUUU